AGUGCCCUCUCAGACGUCAUAGCGAAAUUUGCAUCAUUAUUAUGAUGUUGACCAAACUGGUUCCAUUCUACUUUCAACUUCAAAAUAGGAAUAUCUGCCUGAACUUUUUAGAAAGAAUCUUUGUGGCUUUCCCACCAGAUGAUAACUCUUAACUGCCUUUGAAUGAAGGAAGAAGUUCUUGGAGAGCAUUUUCAUGCAAGGGGAACCUGAAAGAACAAAGUCAUGGUAGAUAAAUGCCAUACAUGCAGACGUGAAAAUGGAUGAGGAGUUACAGUUGUUAAAACAAAGCAAAACUGGCUACAAGCAAAUCUAUUGGAGACUGUCAGAAACAAGUAAGGAUGGAAUACUAGCUUGUGUGUGGUGAGUUGUCAAGUGAUAGUUGGCCAUAGAAAAUGUGGCUUGAGAUUUGUUUAAAACAAUCUGUCCAUGGAGAUCUUGUUAAAUGAGUUUGCUAUAAGAAUAAACAUUGUGGAAUGCUACCUUUUAAUUAAUUGUUGGUUUGUUAAAGAAACAAGACCCUAGGUUUCAGAUGACUUUUUCUCCAUCUCUUAUCAGUGUAUUUGAUAAGUGACGUGAUGACUUUGUACAAAUUUUCAGCUUAUUUUAGUACAUGGAUGUAAAAUAUUCCUGUAACAUAGAUUCCCAGAUCUAGAUCUCUCUUCAGAUCUCAGAAAAUUCAGACAUGGCUCUAGAUUUUCUAUCUGCAUUAGGAAGGUGUAGACUUAGAUUUGCUGAAGUCAUCCCAGUAUGGACUUUCCUAAUGAUUCCUUGAGAAAAACUAUAUAAAUAAUUUUGCCUGCAUAGACCUAAUUUUGGCUGUACAAUAAUUUUAGAACUGACCGCAAAACAUUGAAAAACAGUAUCCCAACGUGUUUCGUGAUUACAUUCAUUUCUCUUACAAAUUCCCAAGGUAUACAGUAAAAUCUGAUGGCUUUAAAUCUCUUAAGAUGAUUGUCACUCCCAGAAACAAACUAAAUAUGUUGCAUUUGUAAAUAGUUACUCUGAAAUACAAGAUAUUGUAAUGAAGAUCAUUUGUGUGAUGCUAUCCUUUCUCAAUGAAUAUAUUUAACUUGAAAUAUUCAGGAAAUGAAAUGAUGGCAAAAGUAAGGCUAUUUUAAACUGCUUUUAGUGGGUUAAAAUAGCGUUUAAUUCAGAAGGUAUUGUUCCUAUGUUACUGCAAUUUUAUCUUCUCCUAGACUCUAUAAGGAUUCUAGAGCCAAAUGAAACUAGUAUGAGAGUGAAGUUUGGGAAUCAAGAGCUUGAGGAGAUGAAUCACAAGAAUGGAAAAAAUUUCUUUAUUUGACUCAGAAGUGAGGUAUUAGAAGUCAGACGCACUAAGUAUGCAUUCAAGAGAAUGAAUGGAGUCUUUAGUGCAGCUUGCUUGGCAGUUGUGAGAAUGUAAUUAUAACGGCCUUUUUAGUAGGGUGAAAAUAUCUAUGACACUGGCUUAGCGAUGUAGGCUUUCUGACUUCAUAGUCUAGUGCUUACUUCACAAGAUGCUUCACUUUUCCUUAUUAAUUAAUUGGAAACAGCAUUGUUUCGAGCCACAAAAUGCAAGUACUUCUUCAUUAGAUUAAACAAUUUUUCAGGAGUCUGAUAAACAGAAGAGGAGAUAAAACUGGCCCUGCAGUCUACAUGUGAAGAAUUUCAAAUUUUAAAUAUAAGGUAACUAUAGGGAAGAUAAUCAAACAUAUUACCCAUCACUUAGUCUGGAGAAAAUUGUUUGAAAUGACCACACAGACCCUUUAAAAACGCAAUAGAAGCUGAAAGGACUGACAGUUGCUAAUAUUGGUGUUUUGGAAAAGAAAAGCAUCCCUGAAGGAGAAUAUGGCUUAUCAGAUGUUGGAGGACAGAUGAUAAAUUCUGUAUUACUUACAGCCAUUAGUUAUGCCAAGGGCAUAUGAACUGCAACACAACUAUAACACAGCAUCCUGUUUUAAGCAUUACGAAUGUAACUAUUAGGAUAAAAGCCCUCCAGCAUUCUGUACAGACAGUUACAUUAAUGCACAAAGUCAGCGUUUAGUAAUUAUGAAUAGUCCAAGACAAUUCACAAUCUGUAUUUGUGCUGUAAUUUAUUUGGGCUUGUGACAGCCUGCAAUCUAUUGUAAAAAUGAGGAAAAAAGGAAGAAUACUAUGUAGGCAAAGAUUUACAAGAUUAAAAGAACAACUAUGGAAGAAGAAAGGUAUUAUUGGGUAUUAUCCCAAUAAAAAUAGCAUAUUAAAAUGGAAAUAAAUUUACGUAGUAACAGAAUAACCUGAGAUUUAAUGGAUAAUUCUUUUCAACUAGCAGCAAUCGAGGUAAAGAAUUGAGAAGCAGUAGGAGUAUGAGCUUAUACCAAUCAGUGGAACAUAAUAAUGGAAAGCCAAAUGAGCUAAUGUUCUCUGUCCCUUAUUAUAGUGGCCCUUUUAAAUAAGAUUUUUCCUCAGUCUAGUAUAGUAUUCCCACUAGGUAAUAUAUUAACAGUCUACCAGAAGAAAAUUACUGUAUUUGAAAAUGGAGCUCUUUCACAUUGAGGGAGAUUGAAAUGGAAGAGUAAGAAGUAAGACUGACAUAAUUCAAGAAACAGACACUUUCUGGUUUCUGUUACAAUGCACUGGGACUCUCAAGCUGUCCUGAGCUAGUUGAAAAUGAAUGCCUCGUUCAUGAAGAGAUCUCUAGGCUAUAUAAUAUGGCUCUCUUGCUCACUGUCUUUGUGGUCCUCUGAGAUGAUCACUUGUUGGUACUGUAGGCUUCAGUCAGAUCUGAUUUAUGUUAUGAUGAGCAGGUUCUCCUGCUAAUGCCAAGAUUUUGGUAGUGCAAGAGAUUUAUGGUGAUGUUAGUCCCCCAGUCUUAUACUGGAUACGUGUCAGUGGUUUCUGAAAAACAAACCUGUAAUCUUUAGAAAAUUGCAGCAAAAAUGACAGGUUCUAGUGCUGAAAUACAGUUUAGGAGAAGAAGGAGUGCUGUGUAACUCUUUCCUCUGAGUUUCUUAGAAACAGUGUUUGCACGUUACCAAAAAUCUUGUGUACAGUGGUGCUCUUUGAUGUUUUUUUUCCCAUGCAUACAUUACUACCCGAAUCUCAUUUACUUUUAUUGAAGCAUGAAGAAAUUCAAAUAUGAAUAAAAUUCAAAUAUGAAUAGUACCCAGUUAAA